AGUUAAGAAGAUCCAAACAUACCACCUCUGUGAAUCCCUUUGGCCAGCUGUUGUAGUUCAGAGGUUGUGAUUCAGAGGUCAUGAUUUACGAAGCUCCCGGCACAAAUGAGAGGAGCGAUUAAAUCCUUGAGCAGAAACGGUCAUAAAAUGUGGUGGAGAAAGGCUCCACGUCUGACAGGAGAAGAUAGUUUCAUCUUCUUCUGAGGAAAGCUGAGGGACUGAAAUAUGGAAAUGCCACCAAUUCCUGAAAAUGUGGUACAUCACGAUGCCGGUAAUACACGCUGGGCUCUCCUUUCUGCUUUUUGGAUGCUGCCCACUUCUGAGCAUCAGGGGCAGAUGAGAAUUUCAGAGAAAGCAAUGAAGAGAGGGAGGCAGGGAGGGAAAGUUUUCCCUACCCUCAGCAGCUGAGUACGAAGUGAAGACCGUGGAGCGAGCAGGAGCCUUUACUGCGCUCACCUGACCUCAGCCCAGACCAGGGGAUGGAGGGUUCUGUGACUGGGCAGAGGCAGGACAGCCCUGG